rnacentral:misc_RNA from 1 species
UGGAGCUCAUGAAUAUGCAUGCCUAUCCGCAAAUCCAGGGUGGGGCCAAGUUCACCCUUCAACUUAGAUUAAAAACAGACGACGAUAUAGCUAAUAUUACCAUAACCACAGCCAUUAGGCUUACAUAUGCGGACGGUACGCUAAUUCCUAAGGAGUUCAUUUUCCAGGAAAUCUAUAAAGCAGUCAAGGUGUUUGCAGAAAACUACGGCGAUUCUGAGGUCCUGGCUAUCAUGAUAAGUUGUUAUACCGAUGGGUGUUUAGAUGUAGUACGACUUCCUACUAAAGAAGAAUCUGAUAAUUCUUUAAAGAAUGUUUUCUAUAAGUAUUGCGAAAUCACUAAUUUUAAAAAACCUAUGACGCCCAAAAACCAGCAUAAAGUAGCUCGCUAUAAUUGCUAUAUAACAAAAGAAAAUCAAGUGAUAAAGAACAAAACGAAAUUCAUAGUGGCCGAUCUAGAAACGAUUCCCUAUAAAUUAGGAGAAAACGACGAAUACAAUACACACGUCCCCUACGCAGGGGGGUAUAUGACGAUUGAUACGGAUAAGGGAUUAGAUGAAAAUAAAAUUAUAAUGUUCUAUGCUGAUGACUACAAAAUACUAUACGAAGAUUUUAAGUCAAUGAGUACAA